GGCCAGGGAUAGAAAUCGAACCCACAAUGUUCCGCUUACCGGGCAGAUGCCAUGUCCACUCGGCUACCCUGGA
rnacentral:tRNA from 1 species